ACUCUUAUUUUGGGUCUUUGAAGUACCAAAACUUCAAGUUACAUAUAAACUCUUAAGUCUAUAUGUAACUUGAAGUUUUGGUACUUCAAAGACCCAAAGUAAGAG
rnacentral:miRNA from 1 species